GACGUUAGCGGCGGACGGGUGAGUAACACGUGGAUAACCUACCUAUAAGACUGGGAUAACUUCGGGAAACCGGAGCUAAUACCGGAUAAUAUAUUGAACCGCAUGGUUCAAUAGUGAAAGACGGUUUUGCUGUCACUUAUAGAUGGAUCCGCGCCGCAUUAGCUAGUUGGUAAGGUAACGGCUUACCAAGGCAACGAUGCGUAGCCGACCUGAGAGGGUGAUCGGCCACACUGGAACUGAGACACGGUCCAGACUCCUACGGGAGGCAGCAGUAGGGAAUCUUCCGCAAUGGGCGAAAGCCUGACGGAGCAACGCCGCGUGAGUGAUGAAGGUCUUCGGAUCGUAAAACUCUGUUAUUAGGGAAGAACAAAUGUGUAAGUAACUAUGCACGUCUUGACGGUGCCUAAUCAGAAAGCCACGGCUAACUACGUGCCAGCAGCCGCGGUAAUACGUAGGUGGCAAGCGUUAUCCGGAAUUAUUGGGCGUAAAGCGCGCGUAGGCGGUUUUUUAAGUCUGAUGUGAAAGCCCACGGCUCAACCGUGGAGGGUCAUUGGAAACUGGAAAACUUGAGUGCAGAAGAGGAAAGUGGAAUUCCAUGUGUAGCGGUGAAAUGCGCAGAGAUAUGGAGGAACACCAGUGGCGAAGGCGACUUUCUGGUCUGUAACUGACG
rnacentral:rRNA from 1 species